UGUUUGAUGUUCUAACGUGGACCCGUGAUCCGGGUUGCGGACAGUGUCUGGUGGGUAGUUUGACUGGGGCGGUCUCCUCCUAAAGAGUAACGGAGGAGCACGAAGGUUGGCUAAUCCUGGUCGGACAUCAGGAGGUUAGUGCAAUGGCAUAAGCCAGCUUGACUGCGAGCGUGACGGCGCGAGCAGGUGCGAAAGCAGGUCAUAGUGAUCCGGUGGUUCUGAAUGGAAGGGCCAUCGCUCAACGGAUAAAAGGUACUCCGGGGAUAACAGGCUGAUACCGCCCAAGAGUUCAUAUCGACGGCGGUGUUUGGCACCUCGAUGUCGGCUCAUCACAUCCUGGGGCUGAAGUAGGUCCCAAGGGUAUGGCUGUUCGCCAUUUAAAGUGGUACGCGAGCUGGGUUUAGAACGUCGUGAGACAGUUCGGUCCCUAUCUGCCGUGGGCGCUGGAGAACUGAGGGGGGCUGCUCCUAGUACGAGAGGACCGGAGUGGACGCAUCACUGGUGUUCGGGUUGUCAUGCCAAUGGCACUGCCCGGUAGCUAAAUGCGGAAGAGAUAAGUGCUGAAAGCAUCUAAGCACGAAACUUGCCCCGAGAUGAGUUCUCCCUGAGACUUUAGGUCUCCUGAAGGAACG
rnacentral:rRNA from 1 species